GCUCCUGUAGCGCAAUUGGAAGUAGGCGGCUGUCUCAAAAACAGUCCAUGUGUGAGUUCGAGUCUCACCGGGAGCA
rnacentral:tRNA from 1 species